AGAGUUUGAUCAUGGCUCAGGACGAACGCUGGCGGCGUGCCUAAUACAUGCAAGUCGAGCGGUUUUCACCUUCGGGUGGAGACAGCGGCGGACGGGUGAGUAACACGUAGGUAACCUGCCACUCAGACUGGGAUAACUACCGGAAACGGUAGCUAAGACCGGAUACGCUUAUAGGAGGGCAUCCUCUUGUAAGGAAAAGCGGAGCAAUCUGCUGCUGAAUGAUGGACCUGCGGCGCAUUAGCUAGUUGGUGAGGUAGCGGCUCACCAAGGCGACGAUGCGUAGCCGACCUGAGAGGGUGAACGGCCACACUGGGACUGAGACACGGCCCAGACUCCUACGGGAGGCAGCAGUAGGGAAUCUUCGGCAAUGGACGGAAGUCUGACCGAGCAACGCCGCGUGAGUGAAGAAGGUUUUCGGAUCGUAAAACUCUGUUGCCAGGGAAGAAUGGCUGGGGGAGUAACUGCCCUUGGCAUGACGGUACCUGAGAAGAAAGCCCCGGCUAACUACGUGCCAGCAGCCGCGGUAAUACGUAGGGGGGCAAGCGUUGUCCGGAAUUAUUGGGCGUAAAGCGCGCGCAGGCGGUGACUUAAGUCUGGUGUAUAACCCAAGGGCUCAACUCUUGGUGGCAUUGGAAACUGGGUGACUGGAGUGUAGGAGAGGAAAGUGGAAUUCCACGUGUAGCGGUGAAAUGCGUAGAGAUGUGGAGGAACACCAGUGGCGAAGGCGACUUUCUGGCCUAUAACUGACGCUGAGGCGCGAAAGCGUGGGGAGCAAACAGGAUUAGAUACCCUAGUAGUCC
rnacentral:rRNA from 1 species